UUAGUAUUUUGUGGUCCUGAAAUGAUUCUAAUUUAUUCAUCUGUGGUCUGGAUUAGAUUCAAGCCCUGGUUUUCCAUUAGAGGUGUAUUAUUUUACAGUAAGGAGCUCCCUCAUGACCUAUGCAACUUUACUCUGACUUCAAAAAUACCCUGUAACACAGAAAACUGUUCUCCAUUUAAAACUACUCCAUUUGAUUAUAAAAACUGUGAAAAUGUAUCAUUUAAAGAUGCUUUUUUCUACUUUGGUCAGCUUUAGCAAUGUGGGAUUUUGGUGGUAUUUAUCACAGCAAUGUCCCUUUAAGACCACGCCCAUUGCACAUUCAGACAGGAAAUGGAGUGCCACACACAAGUUUGUUUGCGAGACCGAAUGAGAACAGAAGGUUCAGUCCAAACAAGCAGCUGAAGUGGUAUCAAACCUACAAGAGAACAGCUGCUGCUUGUGAGAAUGUCACAAAAAAGAGGGUGCUUUGUAACUCGCAGUCUAAUAUGCCUGGUCGUUUUGGUUGAGUGGAGACGGUUGAUUUCUUAUGGCUCCCUGGGUAUGGCGAGGUUGGCCAGGAGCAUGCUGCGAGGCCCUGUCGGGAAGACAGUGCUGGACCAAAGCUGCAGGAGUCUGCUCACAUCGGCCACCAAUGCCACAGAACCACUAGCAGCCGUGAGGACCUCUUACAGAAGAACCAAACAUAAGGCAAAUUCAUUUUUCAAAAACUUUCAGCCAUGGAGUCAUACAUUUUUUCUGUCUGUAUGGAAUUAAAAUGUCCACACAAUAAAUGCUAAAAUAACACAGUC